GAUGAACGCUAGCGGCAGGCCUAACACAUGCAAGUCGAGGGGGAGGUUACUUUCGGGUAACUGAGACCGGCGUACGGGUGCGUAACGCGUAUACAAUCUGCCUUUCACUGGGGGAUAGCCCGAAGAAAUUUGGAUUAAUACCCCAUCGUAUAGUAAUACGGCAUCGUGAUGCUAUUAAAGCUUAGGUGGUGAAAGAUGAGUAUGCGUUCUAUUAGCUAGUUGGAGAGGUAACGGCUCCCCAAGGCGCUGAUAGAUAGGGGUUCUGAGAGGGAUGUCCCCCACACUUGUACUGAGAUACGGACCAGACUCCGACGGGAGGCAGCAGUGAGGAAUAUUGGACAAUGGUCGGAAGACUGAUCCAGCCAUGCCGCGUGCAGGAGGAAGGUCUUAUGGAUUGUAAACUGCUUUUGUAAGGGAAGAAUAAGGGCUACGCGUAGUUUGAUGACGGUACCUUACGAAUAAGCAUCGGCUAACUCCGUG
rnacentral:rRNA from 1 species